GUUGACGCCUUAGAUGCAACACCUACCACAAGAAUAAGGUUCGAGUUAAUACAUCUAUAAAAUAAUUAAUAAGCACAUUACAACUAGAAACACGCAUGACACAAUUUGACCAUCACAAAUGUUAAAUUUGGAACGUCCAGAUCAUGAGCAGAUAUGUAAUGGACAAUGUCUCAGCCACGGAAAACACUUAAUAGUACAUAUAAACAACAAUCUCAGAUUCAACAAAUCAACAAAAACUUUCACGUUACUUUUCUCCCCUAUUCCAAACAAUGCAACAUUGCAAGCAGAUUGCAGCGAUACCCAUCAGCAGCAAGUUUCUUCAAAUCCCUAUAAUGCCUCUUUAGUAUACCAGAAAAAAUACAUCUGUUUUAAGCCGGGAAAACAAGCAUCUGAUUUCCAAGUAUAAGGUAUAACAAUAUCAAGGAUUAAGUAAAUACUUGAACAGAUUCAAUGAUAAAAAUAGUC
rnacentral:misc_RNA from 1 species